rnacentral:rRNA from 1 species
AUGCAAUUCGACGCCCCUUCGGGGCGGCGGCGGACGGGUAGUAAGCGUGGGAACGUGCCCUUUCUACGGAUAGCCAUCGGAAGUCAGUAAACCGUAUACGCCCUUCGGGGGAAGAUUAUCGGAGAUGGAUCGGCCCGCGUUAGAUAGAUAGUUGGUGGGGUAACGGCCUACCAAGUCUACGAUCUAUAGCUGGUUUUAGAGGAUGAUCAGCAACACUCGGGACUGAGACACGGCCCAGACUCCUACGGGAGGCAGCAGUGGGGAAUCUUAGACAAUGGGCGCAAGCCUGAUCUAGCCAUGCCGCGUGUGUGAUGAAGGCCCUAGGGUCGUAAAGCACUUUUCGCCAGGGAUGAUAAUGACAGUACCUGGUAAAGAAACCCCGGCUAACUUCCGUGCCAGCAGCCGCGGUAAUACGGAGGGGGCUAGCGUUUAUUCGGAUUUUACUGGGGCGUAAAGCGCGUGUAGGCGGUCUAUAAAGUCAGAAUGUGAAAGCCCAGGGCUCAACCCUUGGAACUUGCAUUUCGAAACUCAUAGACUAGAGUAUGUUAGGGGAUAGUGGAAAUUUCCAUUGUGUAGAGGUGAAAUUUCGUAGAUAUAUGGAGGAACACCAGUGGCGAAAGGCGACUAUCUGGGACAUUUACUGACGCUAAGACGCGAAAGCGUGGGGAGCAAACGGGAUUAGAUACCCCGGGUAGUCCACGCCGUAAAC